rnacentral:lncRNA from 1 species
UUAAACUUCCUUUCUCUUUACUCAUCUCUCAUCCUGAUUCGCCCCUCUCUGCUUGAUUCCUCCCCCAAAGUCUCGACCUUUAGUCUCCAACUAGAUCCACUCCUUGACAAAGGUCUAACCUUUUUCGCGUGAUCUGUUUCAUCUCUUCGAUUUAGGGGAAACCAGAGAAUGGAUGGGAACUUUCCUCAAGGAGGCGUGGUUCGUGGCGGACCUUCUUCCUACGGAGGAUUCGAUCUGCAAACCUCCAUGAACCAGCAUCGACACAGUCUUCACGAAGGUCUUCCCUUUACUAUGGCCACAGCUCAGACCUGCGAUCAUCACCACAACGUGCCCAUUACUGAGCAACAUAAAGGGGAUAGCGACGAUGAUGAGCCGAGCUUCAAUGAGGAAGGCGGUGAAAAGUCAACUAAAGGGUCUCCAUGGCAGAGAGUGAAGUGGACUGAUAAGAUGGUGAAGCUGUUGAUAACCGCUGUGUCUUAUAUAGGCGAUGAUUCGAGUAUGGACGGUGGGAGCAGGAGAAAGUUUGCGGCUUUGCAGAAAAAGGGAAAGUGGAAGUCUGUUUCCAAGGUCAUGUCCGAGAGAGGGUACCAUGUUUCGCCUCAGCAGUGUGAGGAUAAGUUUAAUGAUUUGAAUAAACGGUAUAAGAAGCUUAACGAUAUGCUUGGGAGGGGGACUUCUUGUCAGGUAGUUGAGAAUCCUGCGCUUUUGGAUUCGAUUGGUUAUUUGAAUGAUAAGGAGAAGGAUGAUGUUAGGAAGAUCAUGAGUUCUAAGCAUUUGUUCUAUGAGGAGAUGUGUUCUUACCACAAUGGGAAUAGGUUGCAUUUGCCUCAUGACUUGGCUUUGCAGCGUUCGCUUAAGCUGGCGCUUAGGAACAGAGAUGAUCAUGAGAGUCAUCAUCAGGUUGAGGAUGUUGAGGAUGAUGAUGGGGAAGGUGAGGAGCAUGAUGAGUAUGAUGAUUUUACACCUGGGGGUUGUAGGGGUGUUCACCUUGGAGGUGGUGGUGCUUUGAAGAAGGCUAGACAGAGUCAUAGUCAUGAAGAUGUUGACCAUCCGGGUCAGCAAGUGAGUUCUCUGGAGUGUAAUAAGCUCUCUUUGGGGAGGAUUCGAUCUGCAAACCUCCAUGAACCAGCAUCGACACAGUCUUCACGAAGGUCUUCCCUUUACUAUGGCCACAGCUCAGACCUGCGAUCAUCACCACAACGUGCCCAUUACUGAGCAACAUAAAGGGGAUAGCGACGAUGAUGAGCCGAGCUUCAAUGAGGAAGGCGGUGAAAAGUCAACUAAAGGGUCUCCAUGGCAGAGAGUGAAGUGGACUGAUAAGAUGGUGA